rnacentral:rRNA from 1 species
AGACCCGAAACCCGGUGAUCUAGCCAUGGGCAGGUUGAAGGUUGGGUAACACUAACUGGAGGACCGAACCGACUAAUGUUGAAAAAUUAGCGGAUGACCUGUGGCUGGGGGUGAAAGGCCAAUCAAACCGGGAGAUAGCUGGUUCUCCCCGAAAGCUAUUUAGGUAGCGCCUCGUGAAUUCAUCUCCGGGGGUAGAGCACUGUUUCGGCUAGGGGGCCAUCCCGGCUUACCAACCCGAUGCAAACUGCGAAUACCGGAGAAUGUUAUCACGGGAGACACACGGCGGGUGCUAACGUCCGUCGUGAAGAGGGAAACAACCCAGACCGCCAGCUAAGGUCCCAAAGUCAUGGUUAAGUGGGAAACGAUGUGGGAAGGCCCAGACAGCCAGGAUGUUGGCUUAGAAGCAGCCAUCAUUUAAAGAAAGCGUAAUAGCUCACUGGUCGAGUCGGCCUGCGCGGAAGAUGUAACGGGGCUAAACCAUGCACCGAAGCUGCGGCAGCGAACGUAUCACUUAAAGCGAUUCAGCGGGUUACGAUUGACGGAGCGAAGCGACGUCAAAGCGUAUACAAAGUCGAGUCGGUUUAAGGAUACGUUCGUUGGGUAGGGGAGCGUUCUGUAAGCCUGUGAAGGUGUGUCGUGAGGCAUGCUGGAGGUAUCAGAAGUGCGAAUGCUGACAUAAGUAACGAUAAAGCGGGUGAAAAGCCCGCUCGCCGGAAGACCAAGGGUUCCUGUCCAACGUUAAUCGGGGCAGGGUGAGUCGACCCCUAAGGCGAGGCCGAAAGGCGUAGUCGAUGGGAAACGGGUUAAUAUUCCCGUACUUGGUGUUACUGCGAAGGGGGGACGGAGAAGGCUAUGUUGGCCGGGCGACGGUUGUCCCGGUUUAAGCGUGU